rnacentral:rRNA from 1 species
GAUGAACGCUGGCGGCGUGCCUAAUACAUGCAAGUCGAGCGAACGGACGAGAAGCUUGCUUCUCUGAUGUUAGCGGCGGACGGGUGAGUAACACGUGGAUAACCUACCUAUAAGACUGGGAUAACUUCGGGAAACCGGAGCUAAUACCGGAUGAUAUUUUGAACCGCAUGGUUCAAAAGUGAAAGACGGUCUUGCUGUCACUUAUAGAUGGAUCUGCGCUGCAUUAGCUAGUUGGUAAGGUAACGGCUUACCAAGGCAACGAUGCAUAGCCGACCUGAGAGGGUGAUCGGCCACACUGGAACUGAGACACGGUCCAGACUCCUACGGGAGGCAGCAGUAGGGAAUCUUCCGCAAUGGGCGAAAGCCUGACGGAGCAACGCCGCGUGAGUGAUGAAGGUCUUCGGAUCGUAAAACUCUGUUAUUAGGGAAGAACAUAUGUGUAAGUAACUGUGCACAUCUUGACGGUACCUAAUCAGAAAGCCACGGCUAACUACGU